GCAACGUUUGCGAAGCUUUGCGGACAUAUUUCAUUCGGACUACGGUUUUACAUGCCGAUCUUAUUGUCCUUGUCGUUUCACAUACAUCCGAAAACGCUACGUAGACCGUUAGCAAUGAUAAAAAGUCUCUCCAUAAUUGUUUGCCUUUAAGGAGGGCAAAGUCAGUGAUCGAGGAAAGCAUUGGCAACGCGACGGGUUUUUCUUGACUACUACCGUGGCAAAAAGAUUCAGUAUGUACCAGGUCCGCUCAAUACGGCAGUUGUCUCCAGCAUACCGGAUCUCUCGCCUGAUGCAGCCGAAGAAGCCACAACCCACAUGGACUUCUAAUCUGGUCAUCAUCGUAGCCGCUCUUACAAAUCUUAUGCGCUACCUGGACAUUUCAUACAUGAUCUAUUUUGGCCUGAACAAACUGGCAAACACCCGACAGCCGGAUAUAAUUGCGGCGAUAGUGGACGAUAUCAUCAUAGCACUUCUUAGCUUCGGGCUCUUCUACGCCGUUAACUUCGUAUGUCCAGUUAAAUAAUUAUUACCCGUAUAUAGUUUAGAUAUACGUAGUAAUCAUUGCGCUGCAGAGACGUCUUCUGCAUAAUAAUUGUGGUUUAUGCGCGAAACUUGAUAAGUGAAUGAUGGCUUGGGGAGAUUUCCAAGACAAGCGUACGUAUGUACGCUUGUCUCGGAAAGCUCUUUAGAAAGUAAUUUAGUGUAGCACAAACGUUUAGCGCUGUUAGUAGACGCUGGAGUAUCGUGGGACGCAAAAACGUCCCGUUAUUCAUAUACUUUAUAAUCAUUUCUUUCACGGUCCGUAGACACUAAUUUACUUAUAUUUGCAAAACGUUCUAGCUAGAUUAGACGAGAUCGAAUUUUCUCUUCGUAGCAUAAAAAGCGCAUGGCGGUCCCGUAUGUGGUUUUUGGUGUCGCCAGUGUCGGCAUCCAAAUUACGGCUUCACACGGUCCUGUAUUUAUGCCUACUGAAACCUACGACAUCGAGAUAAGACAAAAGAAUCCAAUUUCAGUUAGUGCAUUUAUCGAUUCGGUGGUGAAAGAUUUUUGCCUUACCUAACCUUCUCAAACAUUAUCCCCGUAUACGUAAUAAAGCGGGUACAAUCUGCGACACGCGUCUCGUAUGAUGGCGCUAAGUUUUUUGUUCUGCCUACGUAGCUUUACGCGGACAAAGAAAUCCUCGGCGUCUACUCGGAUGGUGACGUCGAACGAAGCAGAUUCAUCAUGAAAAUCAGUAUCAUCAUUACGCAGUUUCUGUUUAACCUUGCUGUGCUAGCGUUUGUCGUCGAUCGUAACUGGCCCCUGUGAACAGCGGAGCGUAAAUGAUUGC